GCCGGGCGUGGUGGCUCAUGCCUGUAAUCCCAGCUACUCAGGAGGCUGAGGCAGGAGAAUUGCUUGAAUCCGGGAGGUGGAGGUUGCAGUGAGCCAAGAUUGCGCCACUGCACUCCAGCCUGGGUGACAGAGUGAGACUCUGUCUCAA
ensembl:misc_RNA Metazoa_SRP Metazoan signal recognition particle RNA